CCUUUUAUGCUAAUGGUUAGAGCGUAGGUCUCGUAACCGAAAGGUCGCGGGAUCGAAUCCCGCUAGAGGCU
rnacentral:tRNA from 1 species